CUUUUUUUUUUUUUUUUUUUUUUUGAAACUUUUAUUUGCUCUGGGACCACUUUGAGGUUGAAGGUACAGCCCACAGUUUAAGAAAACUGUCCCAAACCUGAGCUAAUAAACAAGAGUAAAAGCCUUUUUCUCUUGUCAUUACUACUUCCUCCUCACUGACUAAUUAGCCAGCUGCUGCAGGUCUCAUUAAACUUCAUUAAUCCUAAGCAUCUGUCUGUAGGAACUGCCUCAAGAUAAAAAGAGGAAGCUCCGCUAAACAUUUUUGUUGCUGCUGCUAAUUACCACAAGCUAUGCUUUUUAUUAAUUAAUGGCUCUACUUGCCUCCAAAUCCUACUGAAGAACUUUGCGAGACAACAGGCACUUCAUUCUUCUGUAGCUGCAGACAUGCUGCUCUGUGGUUUGGUGCAUGGGGUACCUGUAAAUUAUCAGCACCGAGAAUACGCUAGCUCUGGAAACCAAGGUAGAGAAAAAAAUACAUCUGGAAGUCUGGUUAUGUGUAACUUGAACUUGCUCAAAGCCUUCAGCUGACACUGAUGCUUUUUAAAAACAUGGCAGUGAUAAAUUAUUUCAUCACUUUGCUCAAAUACAUUAAUGCAAAACAUUACAAAACUAGUUUUCUUGACUCAGCUUCCAGGGUCUAAGAAAGCAUUUUAUUGGGGGGUUGUGAUGCCAGAGCAUAAGGGAUGUUAAAGGUGACACUUAAAAAGGAAGGUGUCGAUCUUGGUUCUGGUCUGGUGGUGCCUGAGAGCAGGGACUCCUUGAAGGUGCAAGAUGAAUUACACUCCUCCCAGGUGUCAGGCAGGGGAGAGAAGCACCCUCCAUUUAGAAAUAUGGAGGAUUAGCCAGGCAUAGUGGCGGGCGCCUGUAGUCCCAGCUACUCUGGAGGCUGAGGCAGGAGAAUGGCGUGAAUCCAGGAGGCGGAGCUUGCAGUGAGCCGAGAUCAUGCCACUGCACUCCAGCCUGGGUGACAGAGCAAGACUCCGUCUCAAAAAAAAAAAAAAAAA
ensembl:lncRNA novel transcript, sense intronic to SPTBN1